rnacentral:rRNA from 1 species
UACAGAGGGUGCGAGCGUUAAUCGGAAUUACUGGGCGUAAAGCGCGCGUAGGCGGCUUUGCAAGUCGGGUGUGAAAUCCCCAGGCUUAACCUGGGAACUGCAUUCGAGACUGCAUUGCUAGAGUAUGGGAGAGGGAAGUGGAAUUUCCGGUGUGGCGGUGAAAUGCGUAGAUAUCGGAAGGAACAUCAGUGGCGAAAGCGACUUCCUGGACCAAUACUGACGCUCAUGUGCGAAAGCGUGGGGAGCAAACAGG